rnacentral:rRNA from 1 species
CGAAAGCCUGACGGAGCAAGACCGCGUGAGGGAGGAAGGCUCUAGGGUUGUAAACCUCUUUUCUCAGGGAAGAAGCUCUGACGGUACCUGAGGAAUCAGCAUCGGCUAACUCCGUGCCAGCAGCCGCGGUAACACGGAGGAUGCAAGCGUUAUCCGGAAUCAUUGGGCGUAAAGCGUCCGCAGGUGGGAGUUCAAGUCGAUUGUCAAAGGCAGUAGCUUAACUACUGAAAGGCAGUGGAAACUGAACAACUAGAGUGCGGUAGGGGUAGAGGGAAUUCCCGGUGUAGCGGUGAAAUGCGUAGAGAUCGGGAAGAACACCAGUGGCGAAAGCGCUCUGCUGGACCGGCACUGACACUGAGGGACGAAAGCUAGGGUAGCG